rnacentral:tRNA from 3 species
GCCGCCGUAGCUCAGACUGGUAGAGCGCCGGCCUCGUAAGCCGGUGGUCCGGGGUUCAAGUCCCCGCGGCGGCU